UUCGGCGGCCAUAGCGAGAGGGAAACGCCCGGUCCCAUUCCGAACCCGGAAGCUAAGCCUUUCAGCGUCGAUGGUACUGCAGGGGGGACUCUGUGGGAGAGUAGAACGCCGCCGGAC
rnacentral:rRNA from 1 species